rnacentral:lncRNA from 1 species
GUGUAUUUGCUGUGGGAGUAAACACAUUUGCCUUACAAAGUGUCUGUGGAAAUAUGCAAAGCUCAUUGAGAGUCACUAGGACAAAAGUGACUUUGUGUCAAGCAGUGCAACAGAAAGCCAAGCAAAAAUGGUUUUCAAACGUGGGACUCCAGGAAUACUGAAUGAAGAACUGAAUGGGCCUCAGAUCUCCUUUAGCAAAAAGGUCCCAUUGGAGCUGUUGGUUGC